UACGUAGGGUGCAAGCGUUGUCCGGAAUUAUUGGGCGUAAAGAGCUCGUAGGCGGUUUGUCGCGUCUGCUGUGAAAACUCGGGGCUUAACUCCGGGCCUGCAGUGGGUACGGGCAGACUAGAGUGCGGUAGGGGGGACUGGAAUUCCUGGUGUAGCGGUGAAAUGCGCAGAUAUCAGGAGGAACACCGGUGGCGAAGGCGGGUCUCUGGGCCGUAACUGACGCUGAGGAGCGAAAGCGUGGGGAGCGAACAGG
rnacentral:rRNA from 1 species